UCCCAGUCCCGCCACUGACUACAGGCGAGCUGAGCACAGGUGUCCAACUGCCCGGAGGCCCAGCUCCCUCAUCAUAAAACCGUGUCAGAAGAGGACCUGUCUCGUAGGUUUGAGCGAUCUCUACACCCAGCGUGGGGCUCGCACUCACAACCCUGAGAUGCAGGGGUGCAGUCUCCACCAGCUGAGCCAGCCGGGCGCCCCCUUACGCUGCUCUCCGCGGAGUCCUAGACGUGGGGGUGCUGCGUCAAAGGAACACUGUUACAGUUACGAGCCCGUGGUGAGACGUCCCUCGUGGGGUAUUCGACCCAGCCAGGCCCUCUCUCCCAGCCCCGGCCUCCUCUGCCCUCUGCCAGCUGCUGUUGCC